rnacentral:lncRNA from 10 species
UACAGCCGCACGCCACCACGCCCAGCUAAUUUUUGUAUUUUUAGUAGAGACGGAGUUUCACCAUGUUGCCCAGCACAGCCUGAUUCAGGCCUCAGAGCUGGUCUUGACCCGGCUUCGACAUCAAGUGGAGCAGAGGAGACGUCGGCUACAGGGGUUGGAGGACGGGGCAGGUGCAGGGCCUGCUGAGAAUGCAGCCUCUUAAGCACCCAUGCACCCACUCUUCCCAGACCUGGGGCGACUCAUGGCGUGCUCACCUCCAGCCGCUGGUGGGGGGUGUCCUGAAGGACAGGAUGCUCUCCCCAGACCUCCCCAGGGUGGUGAAGCUGUGCCCUGGGGCCCCAGCUAACCCACUCCUCUCUCUGUACGUCAAUGUCCCUAUUUGAAAGCAGGGAUGAUCCCAUUCCACCCUGUCCACUCUGGAUGAGAAUUGGCCACCUGAUGGUUAUUUAUACGUCCAGAAGAACAUCA